rnacentral:rRNA from 1 species
AGUGAACGCUGGCGGUAGGCCUAACACAUGCAAGUCGAACGGCAGCACAGUAAGAGCUUGCUCUUAUGGGUGGCGAGUGGCGGACGGGUGAGGAAUGUAUCGGAAUCUACUUUUUCGUGGGGGAUAACGUAGGGAAACUUACGCUAAUACCGCAUCUGACCUACGGGUGAAAGGAGGGGAUCUUCGGACCUUGUGGGGAUGAAUGAGCCGAUGUUGGAUUAGUUGGUUGGGGGGGUAAAGGCCCACCAAGGCGACGAGCCGUAGCCGGACUGGGUGGAUGGUCGGCCGCACGAGAGGGGAAACAGGGACCAUGCUCCUGCGGGAGGGAGCAGUGUGCAAUAGUAGGCAAUAGGGGCGAACCUUAUCCAGCCAUACCGCGUGGGUGAAGAAGGCCUUCGGGUUGUAAAGCCCGUUUGUUGGGAAAGAAAAGCAGCAGGUUAAUACCCCGCGGUUCUGACGGUACCCAAAGAAUAAGCACCGGCUAACUUCGUG